rnacentral:rRNA from 1 species
GACGGAGGAUGCAAGUGUUAUCCGGAAUCACUGGGCGUAAAGCGUCUGUAGGUGGUUUAAAAAGUCUGCUGUUAAAAAUUGAAGCUUAACUUCAAAGAUGCCGUAGAAACUUUUAAACUUGAGUAUGGUAGGGGUAGAGGGAAUUUCCAGUGGAGCGGUGAAAUGCGUAGAUCUUGGAAAGACCACCAAUGGCGAAGGCACUCUACUGGGCCAUUACUGACACUGAUGCGCGAAAGCCAGGGGAGCGAACGGG